GACAUAGGUGGCAAGCGUUGCUCGGAAUCACUGGGCGUAAAGCGCACGUAGGCGGACUCUUAAGUCGGUGGUGAAAUCCUGGAGCUCAACUCCAGAACUGCCUUCGAUACUGAGAGUCUUGAGUCCGGGAGAGGUGAGUGGAACUGCGAGUGUAGAGGUGAAAUUCGUAGAUAUUCGCAAGAACACCAGUGGCGAAGGCGGCUCACUGGCCCGGUACUGACGCUGAGGUGCGAAAGCGUGGGGAGCGAACAGG
rnacentral:rRNA from 1 species